CUAAAAUCAGAGAGGGGAAAUCAUCUCACCAUAUCAUUCCGUAAUCUAUUAUCUCUGUAGACUUUCGUUUUCUUCAGCCGGAUUAAGAAACAAAAAGCGACCACAACAAGCAACGAACCAAAAGAACAGAGACGAAACCCUAGAUCACGAUCUCGCCCCACGAAUUCAAUACAAAGCCUGGCAUGCAAACAAAGUAAACCACAUUCUACGAAAACGCCGCGUAACGAGCCAGGGACCGAGUCAAACACGGAGAUCCGAAUCGCCGCGU